AUUGAACGCUGGCGGCAGGCCUAACACAUGCAAGUCGAGCGGAUGAAGGGAGCUUGCUCCUGGAUUCAGCGGCGGACGGGUGAGUAAUGCCUAGGAAUCUGCCUGGUAGUGGGGGAUAACGUCCGGAAACGGGCGCUAAUACCGCAUACGUCCUGAGGGAGAAAGUGGGGGAUCUUCGGACCUCACGCUAUCAGAUGAGCCUAGGUCGGAUUAGCUAGUUGGUGGGGUAAAGGCCUACCAAGGCGACGAUCCGUAACUGGUCUGAGGGGAUGAUCAGUCACACUGGAACUGAGACACGGUCCAGACUCCUACGGGAGGCAGCAGUGGGGAAUAUUGGACAAUGGGCGAAAGCCUGAUCCAGCCAUGCCGCGUGUGUGAAGAAGGUCUUCGGAUUGUAAAGCACUUUAAGUUGGGAGGAAGGGCAGUAAGUUAAUACCUUGCCGUUUUGACGUUACCAACAGAAUAAGCACCGGCUAACUUCGUG
rnacentral:rRNA from 1 species